rnacentral:rRNA from 1 species
AUACGUAUGGAGCAAGCGUUAUCCGGAUUUACUGGGUGUAAAGGGAGCGUAGACGGCAUAGCAAGUCUGAAGUGAAAUCCCAUGGCUUAACCAUGGAACUGCUUUGGAAACUGCCAGGCUAGAGUGCAGGAGAGGUAAGCGGAAUUCCUAGUGUAGCGGUGAAAUGCGUAGAUAUUAGGAGGAACACCAGUGGCGAAGGCGGCUUACUGGACUGUAACUGACGUUGAGGCUCGAAAGCGUGGGGAGCAAACAGGAUUAGAUACCCUGGUAGUCCACGUUGUAAACGAUGAUUACUAGGUGUUGGGGACCAAAGGUCCUCGGUGCCGCCGCAAACGCAUUAAGUAAUCCACCUGGGGAGUACGUUCGCAAGAAUGAAACUUAAAGGAAUUGACGGGG